rnacentral:rRNA from 1 species
GGAACACGUGAAAUUCCGUCGGAAUCCGGGAGGACCAUCUCCCAAGGCUAAAUACUCCAUAGUGAACGAUAGUGAACCAGUACCGUGAGGGAAAGGUGAAAAGCACCCCGGAAGGGGAGUGAAACAGGUCGUGAAACCGUGUGCCUACAAGGAGGUACAGCCCGUUAAUGGGUGAAAGCGUGCCUUCUGUCGAAUGAACCGGCGAGUUACUAUUAGUUGAAAUGUUAAGCGUAAAAAGCGGAGCCGUAGCGAAAG